rnacentral:lncRNA from 1 species
CUUGGUCUAGUUACUUCCACAGCAGCAGGAGGAACAUGUGUGUGACUCAGGAUAACUGGGGAAGCCUUGGCUAGGCUUUCCUCAUGUCAACCUACCACUCAAAGGGAGAAAACCUCCUGAUCAGAGGAAAUCCAUAAUUUUUGAAUGCUGGCCGAGGUCUGUGACCUCUGACUGAAUGGUUUCCAAGCUCCGAAUUCCUAGUUAGCAUUUUGGUGUGGAUACAGAAGACGAGAUUAACACAGAUCAAGUAACAUGGAAAUAAAAAAGGAGACAAUGCUGGAUGAUACAGGGGCAGCCAACAAGAGGAGAAAACCCAAGCAUUGGCAAAUGCCUCAUUAUCCAAAGAACACUGAGGUGUGGAGCAAAACUGUGUUGAAUGAACUGUAGAUGGAAAUUCUCUCCUUCCCACCGAGGAGCCGCUGCAGGUUGCAGACUCCCAGAAUGCCACACUGAGAAGAGGAGGGCUAAAAUUCUAGAGCAGAAUCCCUGGGGCAGCCCCUGCUGAAGAAGGGUGCAUCUGUUGAGAAUCUCAUCACCGCCCCCACCCCGCCCAGCCUUCAAUUUAGAGGAAUUUCUAGUUCACGCAGAAUGAAGACAAGAUCACAUAAGUGAGGACGACGCCCCAUUUACAAGUGUGAUUUGGAAGACUGAAGUGGAAACCUUGGGAAGGUGGGCCUCAGAGUAUGUCAGCUGGGGUCAGACGGGAACAGGAGUCUGGCUCAACACACAUUUAUUGCACUCCUGUUUCAUGCCAAGAAAUGUACCAAAAUCUGGGACUGUGUAACACAGCAAAGGAAAAGACUCAUCUCCAGGAAGCCCCCUUGUCUAGGAAGAGAAAUUGAAUAUCAGCAUAAGGUGGUGAAAAGCUGUGAAGGAGAUGAGUGCCAGGAGUCCAUGGAGGAAGGAUUCUAGCCUGGACAGGUGAGGAAUGGCUUUCUGGAAGAAGCAGAUGCCCCAGCUGAACUUUAAAAUGCCCAUGUGAAAUGAACUGUCUGUAUCUUCAAUCAGCAAAUGGAGUAGGUGGCCACUGUUUAAUUCUGGAAUGGGGAAGUGUAAAGGUGUGGUGUGUGUGUUUACCCCUACUUAGGGAUUCAAAACAGACAGUAAAGAACAAAAGUCUAGCCCUUUGAGCAUUCUCCAUGGGACAUUUGAGGUCUAGCUGGCCCCAGAGAAAGAGAGACAGAAGCAAGGUCAUAUCCAUUUGAGAAAAUCAAAGUGUCUGCUCCAAUUGAGUCUGGUGUCCUUAUUCCUGGAAUAGCCAUCCCUACUGCUCUGGUGCUGAUUUACCUCCGGCAGUUCAGUGCUUCCUGGAAGCAGAUUUUAAUGGGGGAUGGGAAUAAGAAAUUCAGGGUACUGGAAACAUAAAAGGAAAAAGGAGGCCCUAAGAAGAAUCCCGAAGAAGAGAAGCUGGAGGCUGAGGGUUCAUUACUUUGUUGAGGGUGUUUCUUAUGACACCAAAUAAGACCCAUGGUGCCUGAGAUACUAAUGAGAGGCAAUUGCCGUCCUAGUGUGAGGUGGGGCCUCUGGCCCACUUUUCUUGACAAUCUAAACAUCCAUUCACAAUGACCCAACUACACUUCUUCACUCUUUCCUUUGGUCUUCAAUGUGCCUAUGCCUAUCCUCCCCAGAACAUAUAUAGUUUUGGCUAAAAUUGCUAUGCAGAAAUUUUUGGAAAUUCACCCUGGUAGACAGAGCAUGACAGCAGGCAUUAAAAAAAAAAAAAGUUCAGUUAAAAACAAGAAAAUGGUUUGAGAAUCAAGCUCUUACUGAGAAGGAAUCUUAGCAUUUUGGAGCUGGAAGUGACCCUGAAGUCAUCUGGUUCAAGACCUUUAUUUUACAAAUGAGAAAACUGGGACCCAGACAAGCAAAGUGAGUUGUUAAGUUCCUCCUGUGUGUGGUCCAUGGCUGAACUAGAACCAUACCCAUAGAUUUUCUUCCCUUCAGCCCAGGACUCUUCGCAAUGGGUUCUCACCAAGCUUAAGUAAAGAUUGAUCUGUAAAAUCAAUUUAUUUCAACUUUACUUUUGAAAAUAGUCCAAAGUAUUAAUAUAUUAGUUUAUUUUUUUGGUGGUAUGCCAAACAUUAUAAAACUGCUAGUUUUAGAUGUAGACAGUGAGUAAAGAUUGAGCUAAAUCUUUAUAGAUUGUGGCCUUUUGGGGCAUUUGGUAAAAGAUAAUCCUAUUUCUGUAAAACAAAUACUGAAAAGAGAAAAAAAAAAGCACAUAUGUAUGUGUAUGUCCAUCUAAGAUUGUUUAAGCCUGGAAAAACAUGGAAGGAUAUAUAUGAAGUUGUUAUCAUGGGUUUGCCUGACAGUGCUGAUGCGGGUGGAAGAGGAGGGAUGGGAGAAGCUGUGCAAAUGUAUGAGAAAGGGACUAAAAAGGGAUGUCUAUUAUGAUAUUUAUAUAAAUUUAUUUCUAGGUGUGGCUGUAUAUUGAAAAAAUGAGUAAAAUACUUUAAAAAGUGAUCUGGAAAAUGAGAAAAGAAAAAUGAGUGUAAUUCUCAUGUGCGUUUAAAAUUAU